GUACCAUUCUGGGCCCCAGCUUCCACCAAAUAUCGGGAUCCCAGCCCUGGAAACCAACCCCCAAAUCGUUCUGCCCCCUCUUAGAACAAGAUAAUUUAUCUCCCACUUUGAAUCUGCGGUCCCACCCCUCUUCUUCCCUUGUCUAGACUUCCAAGGGCUGGCCUUCACCGCCCCUCCCAACCUGUCCCCCCCCUCCAGCUCUCAGCCUUCAUCUUCCAAUUGUCGCUUUCUCCUUCACAACCAAGAUGUGGAUUUGUGAUGUGUUGAGCUGACAGGGACAGGGGAGUUGGGGGAGGUUUGGAAAGGGGAGCCCAGAAUGUUUUGAACCUCCAAAUGGCAAACUGCAUCCUCUUCCUAUCACUCCUUAUUCACUCCACUCCCCAUCCCAGGCACACAUCAUUUAAUCACGCUAUCAAGUUCAAAGGUGAAUUAGAACUGGAAGGAGACUGGGGACAGCGGUGUUUCUGUCACACCUUUUCUCUUGCUUGCUUUGGGGAUGAGGGUGGCCUGGAGGAACAAUAGCUUUCCAUAGCCCCUUCUUCCUGCCUCAGGUUAGCAAAGGCAGUAGGAGGAGGUGGGAAAGAGUGGAGAUGACAAAGACCCCUUCCCAGGCCGGCAGUAGAUGCAAGAGGGAGGGGCUUCCUCAGAGUGGGCUGUUAUUUUGGUGGUGGUGGUGUCUCCAGACAGGGGCAGCACCCCCUUUUUGCUGCCUUUCCAGGGAGAGCAGCAAGAGAAAGAAAGAGAGAGGCAAGCGAAAUUCCUGAAUGGAUAGACAGAUGCUACGUCAUCCGGAGCUGCGUCCUCCACUCCACAAGAGGCUAGGAGCCGGGAGAAAGAGGCAGUCCAGCGGCAGGGGCCACCAGCGCAGGCUCUCCUCCUCACAGAAGCCGGCUAAUGGAGGCGGUGCAAUAAUCGCAGAAAGGAAAGGCUGAUGAAAGAUUUAGGGGGCGACCCAAAGGGAAAGGCAUGUGUGUGAAGGAGCAGUUGGCAGAGUGGGAUUUCAUCCCCUGUUCCCGCAUCUGUCUGUGGAGGAGCUGGUCAUCCAAGAAGAAGCAGCCUCGUUUGUUUCGGGUGUCAUCGUAGGUGUCCACCUUUGGCUUUGGGGAUCUCAAAACAUUUAAACUUGAGGAAGUUCCUACUUUUCCAGCUUUGGAGUCAAGGAGGGCCUCUUGAAACCUGAGGAAGCAGUAUCUGAAGCCUGAGGAGAGGAGGAGCAGACCCUGGGAAAGCUGUUAAGGGAAGAGGCUGGAGUCCACGUGGCAGAAUAACCAUUGUGUUUUUCUCCCUAAUACAUCUUACCAUGUAUUGCCAUGUAUUGGUAAGAGCACUUAUGGUUGGUAAACUGACUUACAUAGAUGGAGAGAUAUGGCAAUUCCAAGUUUAUUCUAUUAAGCUUCUAGAGUUACUAAAAAGUUUAUUAAAGGACCAGGUAGGUAGUGGGUAUAAUUAACGAACCAAAUGCAGAUCUGCCUAUCGGCAUGCAGAUUCUUCUUCACCAGGUGACUUUAAGAAGGUGUAUUUUCUAUCCUCUUGCCUCCCAGCCUCCCAACCUUCCCAAAAGUCAACUCUUUUUUUUUUCCUUUUUUUCUUAAUGGCUGCACCCGCGGCAUAUUAAUGUUCUUUGGCCAGGGAGUGAAUCCAAGCUGUAGUUUUGAUCACCACAGCUGCAGCAAUGCUGGAUCCUAUAACCCGCUGAGCCUGGCCAGGUAGUGAACUCAUGCCUCUGCAAUGACCUGAGCUACUGCAAUAUUAAUCCACUGUGCCACAGUCACCAACCCUUGAUUCCCAAGGUUGGUAACUCACCAGAGCACAGGUCCAUGUGCAUUCUUCUGUAUCUGGAAGUCCUUCAUGAAGUAUGUGCUUCCCAAGGUUUGGGAGUUGAAUAGUGAUAAUUAUUUCUUCACUUUCUUUCCACCCAGAUGUUCUGGGGAUGUUUGACCUUCCCUUCUUCUUCCUUCUCAAUAGACACCCCGGGGAUCUUGAGCCAUCAGUGCCCUGUCUCACCCAGAGGCAGGGUGUGCCAACUUCCCUGGGAGUUAAAUAAGUUUAGGUUAAUGCUUUAAAAUCAUUGGAGGGAAAGAGAGGGAAAACCAUAAUUUGAGAAUACAUAUAUAUUCUCAGAGCUUCCAGGAGAAGGAGGAGCAGGGUUAUGGAAGGUAAGAGCGGGUCCGUGAAUAUUUAGAUAGGAGAGAGAGAUUUAGAUAUUUAGAUAGGAGAGAAAAGGGGAACCCUUCCUUGCCACCCAGGCUCUCCCAGGGCUCAGAGUGACACCCCCCCUCCUCCUGCCCUAAUCCCCCCAUUAAGACUGCUCUGAGUUUGUUAUGACAGCGGCUGAAGGCAGCUGAAUUGCUGUUUGCUGUGUCUGCUAAUUGGACUGAAGGGUUGGAAUCUGGACACUGAAAGAGACCAUUGUUGCUGUUUACCUUCCACAACUGCCUCCCUGGGGACCUUCUGGGUGAAGGGGAACAGCAAGCCCUCAGGGUCAUCGCACCCAUUCCCUGUCUCUGCACAAGGGACUGGGGGUAGAGGGAUAGUUCACCUGUUUGCCUUUGAGUGGUUUGAACUUCUAUGGCACAGAAGAGACAAGCCCAACACCUGAGUCGGUCUCCAGGCCAGGCUUGGGGCCAUUGGGAACUCCUAAGGGGGGGGGGUUACAUGCUUGUCCUUCUCUUCCCUAUUCAUUUCCUUCAUCAGGGGCCCUAGCUUUGCCUCUUCCUCCAGCUGAUCAGGCUUAAUCCCUGAAAAUUUUCUUAUCUGCUUUCUUCCAGAUCACUGAUUCUCAACUUGUUUAUGCACUAAUAUCACCUAGAAAGCUUUUUUAAAAAAUGCUGAUGUUGGGGUUCAGUUGAGUAUCUGAGAAUGAGGCCUACCAUCAUAUCAUUUAAAAGAUCCCUUGGUGGAGUUCCCAUCGUGGCACAGCAGAAAUGAAUCCAACUACAAACCAUGAGGUUGUGGGUUCGAUCCCUGGCCUUGCUCAGUCGGUUAAGGAUCUGGCAUUGCUGUGGCUGUGGCAUAGGCCAGCAGCUGUAGCUUCCGAUUGGGCCCCUAGCCUGGGAACCUCCAUAUGCCAUGAUGCAGCCUUAAAAAAUUACAUAAUUAAUUAAUUAAAAGAUCCCUUAGUGUUUCUAAAUGUGCAGCUAAGGUUAAGAACCACUGAUAUAAGCUCAUCUCUCUGCCUAGGAAACACACACACAUACACAGGCACACACGUACCCUUUCCUACCUUCCCUACUUUCUGCUGUCCCCAAGCUCCUAAUAGCUAUAAUACUAUCAGAUGAUUGUGUAUCUUCCUCAUCUUUAUUACUAAAUUCCUUGUAGGAGCCGUAGGAUUUAGAGGUUUGUAACCUGUCAACUACUUUAACCUGAACCCUAUUGCAAGGGCAGGAACUCCAUCUCCCUGUGGAUUUCCAAGUAGGAUCCAGAUGAGGGCAGAGCUAAUCCAGGACACUCAAGUCAUUAGGGGUGAAGGAGUGUGAAGUUCAGAGUUUGACUCUUGGUCUCUUCCUCCCACAAAGUAGUAUUGGCAAUUUGGAGAGCUUCAGAGAGAAGAAACUUUCAGCAGAAAUACACCUGCCCCUUUCCCUACCAUUUCCAAAUGUUUCUGCCUCUUCUCUUUCCUUUAGCUUCUUGCCUGGGACAGGUGGGUGCUCCACCUCCCUUCCCCUCCCUUUCCUCCUCAAGGGCACCAGAGCCGUAUCCAGAACCAUGGACAGCUCCCAGGCGAGCCCAAAAGAGUGGGAAAGAUGUGACCAAAGUCACUCAGCGGGUUAAUGGAAAGGCCAAGAUCCAGGCUUCUAAUUUCCAGCUUCUUAAGGAGUCUCCUUGCCUGAAUUGGUUGGAACAGGCAUAUUGCUGGUAGGAGAGUUCAAGGUUGCCUCCAUACCAAAAAGGACAGGAUGCAUGUCUGGACAUAUGAGGUGUGCACACAAGCCAGGGAGAGGUGGAACUGACUGCUAUCUCUGUCUGGAGAAGUUUGAAGGGGUCGCCUCAGGGAGAAGCACAGGGUAAGGCAUACCUAACAGUAGCUGGCAAGCCCAUGGGAGAAAAGGCAAGGAGGCAACCAUCUGCCAGGGCAAAGAGGCCAGUAGAUGGCCACAAUGAGUCUCCAGAGGCCAGCAAGAGUCACACAAACUGGAACAGGGCCUGGGAAAGGCCCUUCUGUGUGCCCAGUCCUGCUCCCCCAACACCGCAAGCCUAGAAACAAAGGGGCCAUUCUCUGUAGGAUUUGAUGCCGCAAUCUCCGGCUGGCAGUGCCAGGUGGUGGGGGCAUCAGGGGGUGUCAACCCAUUAUGCCCCCCCCCACCUCUCUAGGUCCUCUGGGGCUGGAUGUUGUGGAGGUGGGUGUUCCAUGCCAUGUUGCCAUGGCAACCACCCCAACCCCCACCUUCCAAAGCACAAAGAGAGACAGCUCUCACCCCCACCCCCAGGAAGAAUCUGGGUCUGGUUGGGAAUCUUCCCUUGGGAAUCCUCCUUUCUGAUGCACAAGCCAUGGCAUGUAUCACCCUCUUUUCAGCACCCGGAGCUGAAGGUUCAGCCAUUGGCAGACCAUACAGGCAGGGAGGUUGGUACAUCCAGAGUCUCUGGGCAAGGUUGUGCCAGUGAGUCCCUUAUACUUAACCCUCUCCCCGCCUCCCAAGCUCUCCUGUCCCUCACCUAUAGCCAAGGCCAUCCUAUGCCUUUUCAGCUGAAGCGAGGAGGUCUUGACCUUCUGCUCUUUCCCAGAAGUGAAGGACACCUCACUACUCCCAGCAAGCUUCCAGGCUGUGGGAAGAGAAGAGAGGGCCAUUCCUGCCACCCUUCAUCUGCACCCUCCGCCAUUACUCAUUAGGCAUUCUGCCCCCUCCUUCCGCUCGUUAAGCCUGAUUUGCAUAUAUUUGCAUAAUACAACUCAUUUGCAUUCCAGGAGGCUCUUGGUAGGAGCCAGGAAAAAAGGGGAGGGGGGUUAGAGAAGAGAAAAAAGGGGAGAGAUUUUGUUUGCAUCAAAGUGUGUGUGGUGGGGGGGGUGGCAGGAAGAAGAUAGAAAUAAAAACUCACACUACUUUCUUUCUUCCCUUCUGCCCUCCCUCCCUUAGCUGGACUCAGAUGCCAAAGAGAGAUGCCAAGGGGCCUGCUUUUUUAUCCUUUUUUGUCUUGCUUCCUCCGGCCUUGGCUCCCCAGCCUGGCCCCCCACCUUGCUGGGCUCAGGCUUCAGAAAAAAAGGGACAGGGGUAGGAGGCAAGGCUGUGGGAACGGAAGCGGAGGGAGAGGGAGGCCACUAUCUUAGGUAGCCGGUGCCUGGAAAAGGGCCUCCUGCAUCAGGUGUGGGCUGCCAGCCAGCCCGGGGUCAGUGGCCGUGGCGGGAGGUGAGGCCCUGAGGAGGGGUUUCCAGCUGAUCAGGACCAUUGCUGAGUCUUCCUACUAGCAGAACUGGGGGAAAAGGAUGGAGAGAGAAGGGAGGAGGGAGAGAUGGGGGAUGGUGGCCCCAGAAGAGACAUGAGCCACAUUUAGGAGUAGGUGUUGUGGGAGGACUUCUGCCUGAGGUUUGGUUCCAGACCCCUCAUGAGUUCCAGUGUCAGAGGACUUGGAGCACUAUGCAUAAUAUUAAAAAAAAAAAAAACUGGAGGAAUUAGACCUGGGUGUAUCAGCAGGAAGGGGAGAGGAUAAAGAGUGAGCAGGCAGGAUGAUCCAUCAGUUUGAGGGUUUCUCUGGGACCUGGGAAGGGCCCCUAUGAACUUGAGGUGACAUUCCAAGUCUUCUCUCCUCAGCUCACCCUUCUGGCCUCCAUCUUUAUAGCUGGUGAGACCUGUGCCCCCUCCAGCCCCUCACUCAGCCUCCUUAACCAGACCCAGUGUCCCUUACUCAAGCCUGGUGACCUCUGAGGAGUAUUUCAUACUGAGCCAUCCCAUCUUCUUUGGCCUUUGGUUCUUCUCUUACAGCUGAUUAUUCAUUCUGGAUUCUAUUCAAUCAGUCUUCUGGACUGACUCCAUUCAGUCUCCAUUCAGAAGUGUUCCCCAGGUUCUGCUAACAGUUUUUUUUUUUUUUUCCCUCUUUCCACUCACAUUCUUUCACUUUUAUCAUUUCAGUAUCACUAAGAUUUCUCUAAACUCCAGAUUUGUACCCUAACGACUAUCUGGGUCCAUUAGCUCCCAGAUCAGACUGGAAUGGCGCAUCUGAUUGGCUAAGCCUGGAGCACGUGAGCAGGCCCUAGCUGCAAGGUAGCCUGAGAAAAGUGCCUGUGCUUUUGGCUUCUGUGGUGUCAUAUAAGUACAAUCCCCUCCAAAAUUCAUGAGAUGGCUGUUCCCCAGACAUAGGGAGGGCCUUCAGAUGCUCACUUAUUUGGCAUUGAGUGUGCUUCAAAUCUUGCCCUAUGUUCCUGCUUCCCUAUCCCUCUCAACAGCAUCAUUAAAAUUCUAGGUCCUCAAGUGCAAAUCCUGAGCAUUAUCCUGGAUUUACCCUCUUCGCUCCCCUCAUCCAGAUCAGCCACAUCAGAACCCAUCACAUUGCAGCGCUUCUCACAUCUGUGCCUUCCUUUCCCUUAUCCCUAGUUCCAUUAUCGGCUCAUUCCUUCAACAGACGUUUAUUGGGCUGGGCACCUACUGUGUGCCAGGUGCUGUGCUGAAGAGGAUGGUGGAAUACAAAGCUGCUUUGAGGGCCUAGAAGCCUAGUGGGGGAGGCAGACAGGAAUAACUACAAGACAGUGUGAAAGCUGCUGUCUUGAAGACCUGUGCAAGGUAUGUGGCAGCAUGGGGGCCAGAGCCCUGAGCUCCCUCAGGGGAGUUAUGGAAGGCUUUCUGCAGGGGGCCAAAAGAUAAGUGUUAAAAGAUAAAGGGAUAAAAUUGAUGAAAGGUAAGCAGGGGACUGCCAGUCUAAGGAGUCUGAGAAGUGUGUGGUGGGGAGUAGACAGCAUAUCCGAAGGCAAGGAGGUAGGAAAGCAGGGUGUGAUAGGGACUAGAGUGUCAUCAAUGGGAGUCCGGGUGAGGAGGAGAUGGAGGCCAAAGUUCAGUUAUUAAGAGCCUAUGUGGAGUUCCUGUCAUGGCUCAGCGGAAAUGAGUCUGACUAGGAUCCAUGAGGACACAGUUCUAUCCCUGGCCUCGCUCAGUGGGUUAAGGAUCUGGGUGUUGCUGUGGCUGUGGUGUAGGCUGGCAGCUGUAGCUCUGACUGGACCCCUAGCCUGGGAACCUCCAUAUGCCACAAGUGCGGCCCUAAAAGGACAAAAAAAAAAAAAAAAAAGCUUACGUGCUUCACCAGGGAGGCUGGAUUUGAUAGGGGUACUAGGAAAUUAGCCAACAGUGUCAGAGAUACUGGGUGCAGAGUGUGGCUCAGGGGCAGCCCAUGACCAUUCUCGGGAAGAAGGCGGAAACCUGAAACUUGUUGCCCGCUGAGCCCAGAACCAACCAGAUAUUUAACUGACUCUUGGAUGGUUCUGAACAAAUGGGGGAACACCAAAGGGCUUGGAACCACCUAAAGGAGGGUCCUCUGCCUCUAACCCUCUAGAAUCACCCUUUCUCCCCUCAGCCACACACACCUGCACGCUGGGGGCAGGCUUGGGGGAGCUGUCUAGGGAGAAAUGUAGAGAAGCCAAGGUUGGCCUUGAGCACGGUAAGUGCUCUGAGGUCAGGUCAGGACAGGAGAUGGGCCUCUGCAGACUGGAGUGGAGAACAUAGUUCAAUCCUGGAAACUUCUUGGAGGAGGGAGGGAAAGGGUAAACGGGGGGAUGUAGGGGUGGGCAAGGCUCUGAGGAGAGUCUUCCUAGAGAAGGGGUGAGAGGCCAGAGAGACAGCUGAGGCAAAGAUGAGGCCACUGCUGGCCGUGGGGUGGAAUGGAAGUGGGGGUGCCACCUACCGCCCCUCCCCCAGGCCCAGUCUCUGCACAAAGACCUCUCUGUGAGUAGCUGUGGAAGUGGCCCUGUCAGGUGAGAGGACUUAGCUCCAGGGCCCAUCAGGGGUGGGCUGGAAUGGGUUGGAGGAGGGGAAGGUGUGGAAUGGCUUCAGGCUUUAACUGGAAGGAAAUAGAAGCUGAGACUCGGCCAGGUCUCAGUGAGGCCAUGGUGGAGCCGCUCCCAGGACAAGCUCCCCUUUAGCACCAAUACCCCGCACCUGCUCUCUCACUGUGUCUUCCCAGAUGUGACUCCAGAUCCUGCCAGGCCUCUCCAGGCUGCCUUCCCCAACACCGCGCCCCACUAGUGCCUCUGCAGCUGCCCCCACCCCAAGCCUCUUCUUCCCAGUGUGGAAACUCUCAAGUCCCCUCCAGCUCCUGCACAGGGCUCCCGCUCCUGGGAGGGGGAAAGACAAGAUAGACCAGAGCUCAAAAAGGAGUCCAAGGUCCCCUUAGUCUCUACACUCAGGCUCAUCUUCCCCAGGGGAGGUUCCCUUCCUUGCCUGGCCUCCUGUCACUUAUGCUAAUUAGCAGUGGGGAUAGACCACCCCUUCCUUCAGGCCCCCCGCUGUGUACAGUGUCCCCCCUAAUAACAAUGUGGAUUUGGGGCACUGGAAGUGGUAGAACAAGAGCAGACACAUCUCAGCAGAUAGGUUGCUCACAGAUUUGAUAGAGGAGCUCUAUCCAUAGAACAACGAAAGAAGGUUUUGAUGUUUGGGGUUUAUUUAUUUAUUUUUGUCUUUUUAGGGCUGCACCCACGACAUAUGGAGGUUCCCAGGCUAGGGGUCAAAUAGGAGCUGUAGCUGCCAACCUACACCACAGCCACUGCAAUACCAGAUCUGAGCCGAGUCUGCGACCUACACCACAGCUCAUGGCAACGAUGGAUCCUUAACCUUGAGUGAGGCGGGGGGGUCAAACCCACAUCCUCAUGGAUGCUAGUCGGGUUUGUUAACCACUGAGCCCCCUGGGGUUGGGGGGGUGCUUUUGUUUUGCUUUUCAGGGCUGCAGGUGCAGCAUAUGGAAGUUUCCAGGCUAGGGGUCGAAUCAGAGCUACAACUGCUGGCCUGCACUGCAGCUCAUGGCAACGCUGGAUCCUUAACUCACUGAGUGAGGCCUGAUCCUCAUCCUCAGGGAUACCGGUCAGGUGCUAUAACCCGCUGAGCCACAACAGGAACUCCCAGAGUUUUUGGUUUUUGAUUCUGGAAUCCAGCAGGCUGGUCAAGAUGCACAUUUUGUCUUCCUUCCCUUACUAGUUGGGUGGCCUUAGCCAAGUUGCUUGAUGUCUUUGGAUCCUAACUUGCACCACCGUCCUGAGGAUCAAACAGGUCGGUGUGGAUGAGAGUGUUUUGCAAGGCUGUGUGCAGAUGUCCAGUGUCCAUUCUAAAUGCUGAGGGACACACAGGUAGAGGGGCCACCAUAGGCAGGCGAGGACAAUCAAGGGCGGCUUCCAGUGUUUGGAAAUGAGGGAGGGGAUCGCUGGGGCGGAGAGCGCAGGUUCUCUGGGUGCAAAACGUGAUGAAGGUCUGGCUGGGCUCUGUGAGCUCUCUGGUCUCAAGCGGGUGAACAUCUUGCUGAGAAUGGUUUGGGUGGCACUUGCUUUUAACAACUAGAUGAUGAAAUGGCCUCCAGGACCACAGCUUCUUUCAUCCUUCUCAGGAGGCGCUUCCUGCUGGCCCCGUGAGAACCCCGUCCAGCAAUUCUGGGAUGAGAGGAGGGUGGCAUGAAGCUCCAUUUUUCCCCAUUGCCCUGACCUGCUCCCCACAUCUCAAUGUUCUCCGGAGGGAACAUUAGCCAGACAUUGUGACCCUCUGCUGAAUGAACACAAAAUGGUUCCUCCAAGCCCUGCCACUCGGAACCCGCCCAAGUCUGAUUUUAUGCUUCCUUGGCAUUGUCAGGAGUGAGCUCAAUUCAGACCAAUUUAGAUCUCUCGGCCCAUGGGCCAGGGGGACUUUGAGCAGGAGGGUCUUUUGUCUCUAAGCAGUCAUUCCUUGUUGUACAAGCAAGAGUCAGGAGGAGGGAUGGUUUUGGCCUCAUCCCCCACAGACAGCAGUGGAGCCUUUAGGCCUGGAGGGAAGGGCCAGGCUGAGGCUGGCAUAUGGAGGGAGAGCCCUGGGCACAGGGGGCAUGAGCUUCACCCAGCUGGGGCUACCUUCUGCUGGGUUUGUCCAUCUGGCACCAGCUGGCUUCCCGGCACCGUCCCCACAACCAACCAGACUCCUUCGGCUGUGGUUGCCAUGGCAAUUGGCUGCCAUCUUGUACUUAGGGCACUAUCUCAUAUCUGGAAUUUCCCAUGGGGUUCCUGGAGGAUGGGAGAUAGGUCUCCAGGGAUUUAGCCUUUCCUCUUUAUAUCCGCCCAAUGAAAAUUCAUAUUAAUAUAUGAUUUUUAAAAAUAGCCAAAAUGAAGGCUUACUUUAUGUGAGGCUCUGCUAAAUACUCCCUAUGUGUUAUUUAAUUGGGCUAAGAAAGCAUUAAUGAAAUAAAAUUCAAGAGGUCCCCACCCAGUUUCCUGUUUCUAUGAUGGACUUUUUCUCUCUCCAACCAGGAACAGCCAGGUCUUGCUUACUCCUGCCUUGGGAAGUCCUUCCCAAUGUCUAACCAAGAUCUGUACCGCUGAAGUACCAGUUCUUUGACCCUCGGCUUGACAUGGCUAAUUUGAGAGGCACAGGGAGGAACUGACCUUGAUUUGGCACCUGCUUGCUUGUGUAAGCCCUUUUUUCUUUUUUCUUUUUUUGGUCAUUUUUUGUUUUUUAGGACCACACCCGUGGCAUAUGGAGGUUCCCAGGCUAGGGGUCCAAUCGGAGUGGUAGCUGCUGGCCUAUACCACAGCUCCCAGCAACGCCGGAUCCUUAACCCACUGAGCGAGGCCAGGGAUAGAACCCAAGUCCUCGUGGAUGCUAGGUGGGUUUGUUAACCACUGAGCCACAAUGGGAACUCCCUAUGUAAACCCUUUCUUAGCCAUUCUUAUCUCAGUGAAUCUUCCAACAGUCCUGAAAACUGAGUGAUACUGUCGCCACUACACAAAGACAUAAUCAGAGCCCCAAGUCACAGGACUGGUAAGUGAAGCUGGGCUUCAGGUGGGUCCUGGUGGACCCCAGAGCACAUGCGGUCUCCCCCUCCUGUACUGACUGCCUAAAGAAUAUGUUCCAAACACAGUCAGGAACACCAAGAGGAGAUGGGACCAGGUAGGCAGGGAGCCUUCUCUGCAAGUCCUCAGGGGGAGAAGGGGCAUUCCCUCUCAGGCGCAGGACUGAAGUCGGAGGAAUGCUACAGCAGCCCUUGAGGAGUGAAGGCAGGCCUGGGGAAGGGGGCACAGGAGCCCUAGAAGUCAAUAAAAUCCUCCCAGCUGGGCUCCUGGCCAAGGGAAUAUGCUUCCCAUCUUCCUAAAGCCAAGUACCUGGGGCCACCGCCGCCUCUCACCUGCUUGAGAUCUGAGUUCCCGCCCUGGGCAUUCUCCCCCACCCCCACUCCACGGCUCUGGGUAGAGCACCUCGAAGAGAUGUCUAGACUCAGCCACUGUCAUGGUAGCCCCUUGGAGAGCCCUCCCUGGUCUCUUACCUCUCCUGGCCCCUGGACGGUUACCUUCUGCCUCCUGCUAAGGUCUCCAUCCAAAGAGAAGCUCUUUCACUCUUGACCUAUUUAUUUUCUUUUCAGACCAAAAAGAAGAACCUACUUCACCCACUUGUCCUGGGUUCCCUCUGAGACGCUGUCUUGAUUGACUGAAAGAUGAGGCUAAACUCUAGCAAGUUGAGUGGCUCCUCCCAGAAUCCUUUAAGCAGGAUAGAAGUGGGGAGGCCCCAGCCUCCAGCCUGGGCAGCCCGUUAGACUGGAGCCGCCUGGCAAAGACUUUAUUUCAUCAUUGCUCCAGUGUCUGCAAGCUGUCCAUCCUGGCCAGCCCUGGUUUCCCCUGUGUCGUCUGAACUGAGAAUCUUCUGAGAUGGAAGUCCCAUCUCAUGCCUAAUAAAGACUCUCAAAUAUUGAACAACAGUA